rnacentral:rRNA from 1 species
CACGUAGGGGGCAAGCGUUGUCCGGAAUCAUUGGGCGUAAAGAGCUCGUAGGCGGUGUGUCGCGUCGGCCGUGAAAACCUGCAGCUUAACUGUGGGCGUGCGGUCGAUACGGGCAUCACUGGAGUUCGGCAGGGGAGACUGGAAUUCCUGGUGUAGCGGUGAAAUGCGCAGAUAUCAGGAGGAACACCGGUGGCGAAGGCGGGUCUCUGGGCCGAUACUGACGCUGAGGAGCGAAAGCGUGGGGAGCGAACAGG